AUUGGAGGAAAGUAGGGGAUCGCAAGACCUCGCGCUAUUGGAGCGGCCGAUGUCCGAUUAGCUAGUUGGUAGGGUAAAGGCCUACCAAGGCGACGAUCGGUAGCUGGUCUGAGAGGACGACCAGCCACACUGGAACUGAGACACGGUCCAGACUCCUACGGGAGGCAGCAGUGGGGAAUUUUGGACAAUGGGGGCAACCCUGAUCCAGCCAUGCCGCGUGUGUGAUGAAGGCCUUCGGGUUGUAAAGCACUUUCGGACGGAACGAAAUCGCGUGGGCGAAUAUCCCGCGUGGAUGACGGUACCGUAAGAAGAAGCACCGGCUAACUACGUGCCAGCAGCCGCGGUAAUACGUAGGGUGCGAGCGUUAAUCGGAAUUACUGGGCGUAAAGGGUGCGCAGGCGGCUUCGCAAGUCAGGCGUGAAAUCCCCGAGCUUAACUUGGGAAUUGCGUUUGAAACUACAAGGCUAGAAU
rnacentral:rRNA from 1 species